AUUGAACGCAGGCGGCAGGCCUAACACAUGCAAGUCGAACGAGUGGCGGACGGGUGAGUAAUGUCUGGGAAACUGCCCGAUGGAGGGGGAUAACUACAGGAAACGGUAGCUAAUAACGCAUACCAUCGGAUGUACCCAGAUGGGAUGAGCUAGUAGGUGGGGUAACGUCUCCCCUAGGAGACGAUCCCAAGCUGGUCUGAGAGGAUGACCAGCCACACUGGACAUGAGACCCGGACCAUACUCCUACGGGAGGCAGCAGUGGGGAAUAUUGUACAAUUGGCGCAAGCCUGAUGCAGCCAUGCCGCGUUUAUGAAGAAGGCCUUCGGGUUGUAAAGUACUUUCAGCGAGGAGGCGUUACUCGCAGAAGAAGCACCGGCUAACUCCGUGCCAGCUGCCGCGGUAAUUC
rnacentral:rRNA from 1 species